rnacentral:rRNA from 1 species
GUGGGGAAUUUUGGACAAUGGGCGCAAGCCUGAUCCAGCCAUGCCGCGUGCAGGAUGAAGGCCUUCGGGUUGUAAACUGCUUUUGUACGGAACGAAAAGACUCUGGUUAAUACCCGGGGUCCAUGACGGUACCGUAAGAAUAAGCACCGGCUAACUACGUGCCAGCAGCCGCGGUAAUACGUAGGGUGCGAGCGUUAAUCGGAAUUACUGGGCGUAAAGCGUGCGCAGGCGGUGCUGUAAGACAGGCGUGAAAUCCCCGGGCUCAACCUGGGAAUUGCGCUUGUGACUGCAGUGCUGGAGUACGGCAGAGGGGGAUGGAAUUCCGCGUGUAGCAGUGAAAUGCGUAGAUAUGCGGAGGAACACCGAUGGCGAAGGCAGUCCCCUGGGCCUGUACUGACGCUCAUGCACGAAAGCGUGGGGAGCAAACAGGAUUAGAUACCCGGGUAGUCC